UACGUAGGGGGCAAGCGUUGUCCGGAUUUAUUGGGCGUAAAGAGCUCGUAGGUGGUUCGGUAAGUCGGAUGUGAAAUCUCCAGGCUCAACCUGGAGGGGUCAUUCGAUACUGCCGUGACUAGAGUUCGGUAGGGGAGUGUGGAAUUCCUGGUGGAGCGGUGAAAUGCGCAGAUAUCAGGAGGAACACCCGUAGCGAAGGCGGCAUCCUGGACCAACACUGACACUGAGGAGCGAAAGCCAGGGGAGCAAACGGG
rnacentral:rRNA from 1 species